rnacentral:rRNA from 1 species
AGAGUUUGAUCAUGGCUCAGGAUGAACGCUGGCGGCAUGCCUAAUACAUGCAAGUCGAACGGGGAAGAGCAAUCUUCCCAGUGGCGAACGGGUGAGUAAAGCGUAGACAACCUGUCUUCAAGACGAGGAUAACGGCUGGAAACGGCUGCUAAUACUGGAUAGGAUAAGUAGUCGCAUGGCAACUUAUUUAAAGGCGGGUCACGCCGCUUGAAGAGGGGUCUACGUCGCAUUAGCUAGUUGGUGUGGUAACGGCGCACCAAGGCGACGAUGCGUAGCUGUGCUGAGAGGCAGGACAGCCACACUGGGACUGAGACACGGCCCAGACUCCUACGGGAGGCAGCAGUAGGGAAUUUUCGGCAAUGGGGGCAACCCUGACCGAGCAAUGCCGCGUGAACGAUGAAGAUCUUCAGAUCGUAAAGUUCUGUGAUCGGGGAAGAACGGCAUGACCAGGGAAUGGGUCAUGAUUGACGGUACCUGAUUAGAAAGCCCUGGCUAACUACGUGCCAGCAGCCGCGGUAAUACGUAGGGGGCUAGCGUUGUCCGGAAUUACUGGGCGUAAAGGGCGUGUAGGCGGUCGUGCAAGUCGGUUGUGAAAGUCUAGGGCUCAACUCUAGGAUGCCGAUCGAAACUGCAUGGCUUGAGGGCAAGAGAGGGAAGCGGAAUUCCCGGUGUAGCGGUGAAGUGCGUAGAUAUCGGGAGGAACACCAGUGGCGAAGGCGGCUUCCUGGAUUGCACCUGACGCUGAGGCGCGAAAGCUGGGGGAGCGAACGGGAUUAGAUACCCCGGUAGUCCCAGCCGUAAACGAUGGAUGCUAGGUGUAGGAGGUAUCGACCCCUCCUGUGCCGCAGUUAACGCAUUAAGCAUCCCGCCUGGGGAGUACGGUCGCAAGACUGAAACUCAAAUGAAUUGACGG